rfam:Asian citrus Psyllid, Diaphorina citri - Florida Strain, whole genome shotgun sequence.
GCCUAGUUAGCUUGGUUGAUAGCGCGUCUGCCUUGUAAGCGGCAGGUUGCGGAUUCGAUUCCCGCCCGGGGCA